rnacentral:rRNA from 1 species
GAUGAACGCUGGCGGCGUGCCUAAUACAUGCAAGUCGAGCGAACAGACGAGGAGCUUGCUCCUCUGACGUUAGCGGCGGACGGGUGAGUAACACGUGGAUAACCUACCUAUAAGACUGGGAUAACUUCGGGAAACCGGAGCUAAUACCGGAUAAUAUAUUGAACCGCAUGGUUCAAUAGUGAAAGACGGUUUUGCUGUCACUUAUAGAUGGAUCCGCGCCGCAUUAGCUAGUUGGUAAGGUAACGGCUUACCAAGGCAACGAUGCGUAGCCGACCUGAGAGGGUGGUCGGCCACACUGGAACUGAGACACGGACCAGACUCCUACGGGAGGCAGCAGUAGGGAAUCUUCCGCAAUGGGCGAAAGCUUGACGGAGCAACGCCGCGUGAGUGAUGAAGGUCUUCGGAUCGUAAAACUCUGUUAUUAGGGAAGAACAAAUGUGUAAGUAACUAUGCACGUCUUGACGGUACCUAAUCAGAAAGCCACGGCUAACUACGUG